GACGAACGCUGGCGGCGUGCCUAAUACAUGCAAGUUGAGCGAUGAAGAUUGGUGCUUGCACCAAUUUGAAGAGCAGCGAACGGGUGAGUAACGCGUGGGGAAUCUGCCUUUGAGCGGGGGACAACAUUUGGAAACGAAUGCUAAUACCGCAUAACAACUUUAAACAUAAGUUUUAAGUUUGAAAGAUGCAAUUGCAUCACUCAAAGAUGAUCCCGCGUUGUAUUAGCUAGUUGGUGAGGUAAAGGCUAACCAAGGCGAUGAUACAUAGCCGACCUGAGAGGGUGAUCGGCCACAUUGGGACUGAGACACGGCCCAAGCUCCUACGGGAGGCAGCAGUAGGGAAUCUUCGGCAAUGGACGAAAGUCUGACCGAGCAACGCCGCGUGAGUGAAGAAGGUUUUCGGAUCGUAAAACUCUGUUGGUAGAGAAGAACGUUGGUGAGAGUGGAAAGCUCAUCAAGUGACGGUAACUACCCAGAAAGGGACGGCUAACUACGUG
rnacentral:rRNA from 1 species